CCCUGCAAAAUUUCGAUAAAUCACUCGCAUCAUUUUGUCUCAAUCUUCCCUCCAACACAAAUUAUACAUUCGAGCAGCAUGUUUGUUGCCUUAUAAUGAAACUAAAAGCUCACGUGGGUAAAUUUGAAAAGGGAACCAGAUCGAGGACCGGGUUGUUAUCCCCAAAAAUAGAGAUUCUAUAAACUGAUUUUUUAUUAUUGUUCAUAAAAUAAAUGAAUAGAACAGAAGUAUGGAACAGCCCUUGAGCACAUGGGGCUGCCGUCUGUCUCUUGAAUUAAGGGAAAUUUUAAAAAUGAAAAAAAAAAUAAAAUUGGAGUAGUUUGAGGGGAGUCCGAGGAAAUAGGGAACAUGUUCUAUUGACCGUUGAAUGGUUAAACAGGAAGAAUAUGUCAAUUACAGAAAAUGAGAUGAGAUUAGUUUGGAUCUGGGAGUGGGGAGAUUCCAAAGACAAGAUAAGAAUUACAAAUUAUAAAAAGCACAUGCUAUAAUUCACAAACGGGAUUACAAUCAUUUACAUAAACAGAUCUAAGCGUCGAGGUAAUCCGUAUUAGAGCUUAAGCUAGGAUUUUAAUCCCAAGUAAAGAAAAAGCGUAAUUGGUUUUUCUCCCAAAUAAGAAGGCAACCCAGAAGAACAUAUAUAUGAUGACAAGAAUGAAUUUAAAUUUCUUUUUGACUUUCUCAGCAGCCAAACAAAUAUAUAAUUGAACACUUUACCAUUAGCUUCAAUGUUGCUUGAUAUCCCGAGGCUAAGAUCUCCAAAGCUACCUCCCUCUUUCAAGUACUGACUCAAAAGACUACACGUCUGAGAG
rnacentral:lncRNA from 1 species